rnacentral:rRNA from 1 species
AACGAACGCUGGCGGCAGGCUUAACACAUGCAAGUCGAGCGCAUCCUUCGGGGUGAGCGGCAGACGGGUGAGUAACGCGUGGGAAUCUACCUUUUGCUACGGAAUAGCUCCGGGAAACUGGAAUUAAUACCGUAUGUGCCCUUUGGCGGUGGACGCUGGAGGGGAAAGAUUGAUCGGCAAAGGAUGAGCCCGCGUUGGAUUAGCUAGUUGGUGGGGUAAAGGCCUACCAAGGCGACGAUCCAUAGCUGGUCUGAGAGGAUGAUCAGCCACAUUGGGACUGAGACACGGCCCAA